GUGCUAAACUUCAGCAAAUAUACUAAAGUUGGAAUGAUACAGAGAAGAUUAGCAUGGCUCCUGCACAAGGGUGACAUGAAAAUUCAUGAAGCAUGCCACAUUCUU
ensembl:snRNA U6 U6 spliceosomal RNA